rnacentral:rRNA from 1 species
CAACAGCCAUAGUUUAUUGGAUCUUAGAGUCCUACUUGGAUACCUGUGGAAAAUCUAGAGCUAAUACACGCAAUCAAGCCCCAACCUGACGGACGGGGCGCAUUUAUUAGAACAAAACCAAUUGGCUUCGGCCAUCAUUUGGUGAAUCUGAAUAACUACGCUGAUCGCACGGUCUCGUACCGGCGACGUAUCCUUCAAGUGUCUGCCUUAUCAACUUUCGAUGGUAGUCUAUAAGCCUACCAUGGUUGUAACGGGUAACGGAGAAUUAGGGUUCGACUCCNGAGAGGGAGCCUGAGAAACGGCUACCACUUCCAAGGAAGGCAGCAGGCGCGCAAAUUACCCACUCUCAGUACGAGGAGGUAGUGACGAAAAAUAACGAGACAGUUCUCUAUGAGGUCUGUCAUCGGAAUGGGUACAAUCUAAACCCUUUAACGAGGAUCUAUUGGAGGGCAAGUCUGGUGCCAGCAGCCGCGGUAAUUCCAGCUCCAAUAGCGUAUAUUAAAGUUGUUGCGGUUAAAAAGCUCGUAGUUGGAUCUGCGGUCAUUGACACUGGUCUCCUUAACGGAGUACUUGCUGUCGUGACCUACCUUGCUGGUUGUCCCUUGGUGCUCUUUACUGAGUGCCCUGGGGGGCUAGCACGUUUACUUUGAAAAAAUUAGAGUGCUUAACNCAGGCUAUUGCCUGAAUAGUGGUGCAUGGAAUAAUGGAAUAGGACCUCGGUUCUAUUUUGUUGGUUUUCGGAGCGCGAGUAAUGAUUAAGAGGGACAGACGGGGGCAUUCGUACUGCUGCG